rnacentral:rRNA from 1 species
CCUACGGGAGGCAGCAGUGAGGAAUAUUGGUCAAUGGCCGCGAGCCUGAACCAGCCAAGUAGCGUGAAGGAUGACUGCCCUACGGGUUGUAAACUUCUUUUAUAAAGGAAUAAUGUGAGGCACGUGUGCCUUUUUGUAUGUACUUUAUGAAUAAGGAUCGGCUAACUCCGUGCCAGCAGCCGCGGUAAUACGGAGGAUCCGAGCGUUAUCCGGAUUUAUUGGGUUUAAAGGGAGCGUAGAUGGGUUGUUAAGUCAGUUGUUAAAGUUUGGGGCUGUCCCGUAGAUUUGCAUUUGAUACUGGAAGACUUGAGUACAGACGAGGUAGGCGGAAUACG